rnacentral:rRNA from 1 species
GACGAACGCUGGCGGCGUGCUUAACACAUGCCAGUCGAACGAAGAGCGACGGAAGCUUGCUUCUAUCAAUCUUAGUGGCGAACGGGUGAGUAACGCGUAAUCAACCUGCCCUUCAGAGGGGGACAACAGUUGGAAACGACUGCUAAUACCGCAUACGAUCUAAUCUCGGCAUCGAGGAUGGAUGAAAGGUGGCCUCUACAUGUAAGCUAUCACUGAAGGAGGGGAUUGCGUCUGAUUAGCUAGUUGGAGGGGUAACGGCCCACCAAGGCGAUGAUCAGUAGCCGGUCUGAGGGGAUGAACGGCCACAUUGGGACUGAGACACGGCCCAGACUCCUACGGGAGGCAGCAGUGGGGAAUCUUCCGCAAUGGACGAAAGUCUGACGGAGCAACGCCGCGUGAGUGAUGACGGCCUUCGGGUUGUAAAGCUCUGUUAAUCGGGACGAAAGGCCUUCUUGCGAAUAGUGAGAAGGAUUGACGGUACCGGAAUAGAAAGCCACGGCUAACUACGUG